rnacentral:lncRNA from 1 species
AUUUAUUGGAGCUUCCAAGAGUCUUUACAAGAAUGGCAAGAAUGUUGCAGGGGCCCAGGGCCGGGCACGGUGGCUCAUGCCUGUAAUCCAGCACUUUGGGAGGCUGAGGCGGACGUAAUUCCUGCCUCUUCCACAGACUAGACAUGUGACUGGGGGCAGAUUCCUUCAGCAAUAUCACCUCAUUUGGAGAAGAACUGGACUAAAAUACCCUCCAAUCACUUUCCGAUUUGCUGGUUUAAUAAUCCUAUCAGAAAAGAAGAGGUUAGCUAUACAUGACUUUCUCUAGAAGCAUAUCGAUUGGCUCCUUGUAACAUUUUUCCUCUUUAAUAUAACAAAAUUGUGCAGUGUCUGAUGGCUACAGAACCAUCCAAAAUAUGGGUUUCCCAUACUUGGUGAUAGAGUGUAAGGGGUUCUCAGCUUAUAUAUUUAAAAUAACAGCUCUCAUUUCAAAUACCAUUUAUUUCUCCUCAUUAUUUGCAGAAGACGUGAAGGCAGAUUUUCAUUCUUCUUCUGGCCAAAGCUCAGUACAAGAACGACCUCAAAGGCAAGUAUUGGGAAGGAAAAUAGACUAAAAAGUAAAUUAUCUAAAUAUUCAUACCAAGAAAUUAGAUUAAAAAAUUAAAUUUAAAGAAAAUGAAAGAAUUGAGAUAUAGUAUUCUAUAAUAGACAUAACAAAGAAUAGAGAUAAAAACUAAUGAAAUACAACACAAACCAUGGAUAAGAUAAAAUAAAGCUAAAAUAUGGAUGUUUGAAAAACUAAUAAAAUUGGUAA